CCUGCCAGGCCCAGGGAGCAUGCAGGCUGGGAUUCAGAAUAUCUUGCAAUCCCUAUUCACUUCCAUUCCCCGUUUAAAAAUGUACUUUGAGGAGAGGGAAGAACAGAGGACGAUUGAUUUAGAAGUGCCAUUUUCUCCACAGACUUUGCAAGUGGCUGCAACAAGGUCAGGGGAAAAACAGUUUUACUCCUGUCUUACAGCAACACGAAAUGAACCUGGAAUUGCAUCCUCUAUGUCUAGCAGCUCAAGCAUAGUGUGCCAGACCCCUCAGAGAAUCCUGGAACAUCAAGCAAACAAGGGAGAGCAUGCAGGAGGAGACAGAGGGCCGUUUUCCUUCAUGACAGCCACAGCCAUGCCCACUUCUGAGAUUGUGCCAUAAUCUUGCAAUUAUCAUACAACAAGAAGGGAUGCAUUGCAACAAUCAGUGCAGAUCUCCAUGUGUUGCCUUUCCUUUAGAUCUAAUAUUUUCUGGGCAAACAAUUUGGAGUGCUCCAAUUUCUUCUUUCAGAGUGACUCAAGUUGCUUUUUCCUUGAAGUUCCGUUGUACAGAAUUUUCACACCAUUCUCAUGAAAACGUUUUCUGUGUUCUAAAUGCUUAGCUUUUGAGCACACUGAACAAUUUCUCCAGAGUGACCAUUGGAGCACAUCCUCAGCAGCUAACUCAUCACUCUGAGCAGCACAGAGGGUGAGAAGACUUUGUCUCCUUUGGGAUGGUAUUGGACUCUCAGGAAAUUAGGGAAAAUAUAUGUCGGAAUUAUGUACCUGUUGGAAAUGUAAAGGGGGGGUACCUUUUCCCAUAUGUGGUGGUCACGUAAUGUAGCAGAAGCUUUCUGGGAAAUGAUUUAUAAUGAGUUGAAAAAAAUGUUGAAGAUAACUUUUGUUAAAAAAACAGAAGCCUUUAUUUUAGGUAUAAUUGGUGGAGAGGUACGCAAAGAACAGGGAAAAAAAAUUAUGCAUGUCCCAAUGGCUGCCCGAAUGAUUUAUGCCCAGAGAUGGAAAGAGGAAACAGUUCCAAUGAAGGAGGACAGGCAACUAGAGUGGAUGGAGUAUGCAGAAAUUGCGAAACUUACCAGAAGAAUAAAAAACCAAGAAGAGAGCCUUAAAAAAAUAUAAUGGGGAAAAUUUAUUGACUAUUUGAAGAUGUAUGUGCCGUAAGAAAUAAUUAAAAGGGAAUAGAAAGGGAAAAUUAGUAAAUAGGUUUGAACUGGAUAUGAAGUAACAAAGAAAUAUACCGUAUUGGCCUGAAUAUAAGCCACACUUUCCCUCCAAUUUCCAAUUGUGAAAAGUUAAAGUGUGCCUUAUAUUCACAACCUUACAGUAUCGCUGCUGAAACAGCUGCCCACGAGGGCCAUUGGGGGUGUGGGACAAUGGUGCCCGUCCCGACUCAAGCCUCCACUGAGCCACCUUAGGGAAGGGGGAGGGGGGAGGCCGCCAACAAAGCCCCCUCCCCAAAGCAGCCCGGGAGCCCAGGGCAACAGCGCACAGCCCGCCUGCUGCUCCCAAGCCUCCCCCAGCGCUGGCUUGGGGAAGUAGUGCUGGGAGGCGGUGGUGUUGGAAGGCAGGUGCGCAGUGUGCUCGUCGUGGGCUGCAGUUGUGUCGUUGUCAAAGACUAUGGCAAGGAAUCUCAGGCCAAAGAUGCCAUCCAAAGGUACUUCAAGUGCAAGAAAUGAACCAAUAAAAUAUAUUUGCGCCUGGAAAAAAAGAAAAGAAGAAGAAGAAGAAGAAGAAGAAGAAGAAGAAGAAGAAGAAGAAGAAGAAGGGCGCUAGUGCCAGCUUGGGGAGUGAGGCGCCAAGUACCAGUGCUGGCCGCCCCCUGUUCAGGGCAGUAGUGCCUAGAGGCAGGUCGCACCUGCAAAUAAGCCUUUAAUUUUAAAGGUGCGUCUUAUUUGCAGGUGCGUCUUAUAUUCGGGCCAAUAUGGUAAACUUAGUAACCGCAGAAAGGAGGGGAGGGAAGUUGAGGGAAAUGCAGCUUGAUUAUGUAAAGACUUUGCUUUUUCGUUAAAAUAUUUGUAAAAUAAAAUGAAAAAUAAAAUUAAUAAAAAUUAAAA
rnacentral:lncRNA from 1 species